rnacentral:rRNA from 1 species
AUUGAACGCUGGCGGCAUGCCUUACACAUGCAAGUCGAACGGCAGCGGACCUUCGGGUGCCGGCGAGUGGCGAACGGGUGAGUAAUAUAUCGGAACGUGCCUUUCAGUGGGGGAUAACGUAGCGAAAGUUACGCUAAUACCGCAUAUUCUCUGAGGAGGAAAGCAGGGGACCUUCGGGCCUGGCGCUGAUAGAGCGGCCGAUAUCAGAUUAGGUAGUUGGUGGGGUAAAGGCCUACCAAGGCGACGAUCUGUAGCGGGUCUGAGAGGAUGAUCCGCCACACUGGGACUGAGACACGGCCCAGACUCCUACGGGAGGCAGCAGUGGGGAAUUUUGGACAAUGGGCGAAAGCCUGAUCCAGCCAUGCCGCGUGAGUGAAGAAGGCCUUCGGGUUGUAAAGCUCUUUCGGCCGGGAAGAAAUCGCACAGGCUAAUACCUUGUGUGGAUGACGGUACCGGAAUAAGAAGCACCGGCUAACUACGUGCCAGCCGCCGCAGUAA